UUGAUCCUGGCUCAGGAUGAACGCUAGCGGCAGGCUUAACACAUGCAAGUCGAGGGGUAUGGUAGCAAUACUAGAGACCGGCGCACGGGUGCGUAACGCGUAUGCAAUCUACCUUUUACAGAGGGAUAGCCCAGAGAAAUUUGGAUUUAUACCUCAUAGUAUUAUAGAAUGGCAUCAUUUUAUAAUUAAAGUCACAACGGUAAAAGAUGAGCAUGCGUCCCAUUAGCUAGUUGGUAAGGUAACGGCUUACCAAGGCUACGAUGGGUAGGGGUCCUGAGAGGGAGAUCCCCCACACUGGUACUGAGACACGGACCAGACUCCUACGGGAGGCAGCAGUGAGGAAUAUUGGACAAUGGGCGCAAGCGUGAUCCAGCCAUGCCGCGUGCAGGAUGACGGUCCUAUGGAUUGUAAACUGCUUUUAUACGAGAAGAAACACUACUUCGUGAAGUAGCUUGACGGUAUCGUAAGAAUAA
rnacentral:rRNA from 1 species